rnacentral:lncRNA from 1 species
UCACAUCACGGCCGAGGUGAUAAAUACCACAGCAAUGUGGAUAUGAUGUCAAUUUGCAUUUGUCAGGAGGAUCAAGUUCAGUUGAAAGUAGAACACAAACGGAGAUCGAUACAGUUUGCAUGUUUCUCUGUUACCCCAAGGUGACAAUUAUCUAAGAAGUCCUCUGAGGGUCUGGACCCCAAGCACAGCACGUCAGGACCACAGGAGACUCUUCAAAGAAGCUCAGAGUGUGAAGCUCAGAGUGUGAAGCUCAGAGUGUGAAGCUGAGUGUGAAGCUCAGAGUGUGAAGCUCAGAGUGUGAAGCUCAGAGUGUGAAGCUCAGAGUGUGAAGCCAGUAUGUGCUUAGGAUGUUACAUAGCAAGGCCAGCAGGGAACGCCCAAGCCCGAGGACAUGAGUUCAAACCCCGAGACCUGCUUGUAGAAGCAGGGAACGAACUU